rnacentral:rRNA from 1 species
UUUAAGUGGCGGACGGGUGAGUAACGCGUGGGUAACCUGCCGUAUACAGGGGGAUAACACUUAGAAAUAGGUGCUAAAACCGCAUAAGCGCACAGCGCCGCAUGGCGCAGUGUGAAAAACUCCGGUGGUAUACGAUGGACCCGCGUCUGAUUAGCCAGUUGGCAGGGUAACGGCCUACCAAAGCGACGAUCAGUAGCCGGCCUGAGAGGGUGGACGGCCACAUUGGGACUGAGACACGGCCCAAACUCCUACGGAAGGCAGCAG